CAGGCCAUGGGAAGACAUUACCUGUUGAUAACACAGACUAUUCUCAUGAUCAUGGGAGGUGUGAGAGAAUUGCUGCUCUUUGUGAUGACUGUGGGGGUUGUCAAAGUUUCUUGUUACCCUGUUGGAAAGUCCCAGAAGCAAGAUCAAGUCUCUCUGCAGAGGAGACUUGGAGAGCUGUCAUCAAAUGACGUCUCCAUUGAGCAUGCCCUGGCCUUGCUCCGAUCCAUAGGGUCUGACGCUAAACAAGACAGAGAAGAGUAUUUAGAGACUAACGAAGUAGAAUCCCAAGCUUCUCCAAACCAUGGUAGCUCUCAGGCAAAUGAUGCCCUGUCCUCUGAGGAGAAGCUGAGGCGCAUGUCCUCUGACGACGCUGCGACUGGCCCGUCUGACGACGCUACCUCUGAAGCUGCGACUGGCCCGUCUGACGACGCUACCUCUGAAGCUGCGACUGGCCCGUCUGACGACGCUACCUCUGAAGCUGCGACUGGCCCGUCUGACGCACGCUACCUCUGAAGCUGCGACUGGCCCGUCUGACGACGCUACCUCUGAAGCUGCGACUGGCCCGUCUGACGACGCUACCUCUGAAGCUGCGACUGGCCCGUCUGACGACGCUACCUCUGAAGCUGCGACUGGCCCGUCUGACGACGCUACCUCUGAAGCUGCGACUGGCCCGUCUGACGCACGCUACCUCUGAAGCUGCGACUGGCCCGUCUGACGACGCUACCUCUGAAGCUGCGACUGGCCCGUCUGACGCACGCUACCUCUGAAGCUGCGACUGGCCCGUCUGACGACGCUACCUCUGAAGCUGCGACUGGCCCGUCUGACGACGCUACCUCUGAAGCUGCGACUGGCCCGUCUGACGCACGCUACCUCUGAAGCUGCGACUGGCCCGUCUGACGCACGCUACCUCUGAAGCUGCGACUGGCCCGUCUGACGACGCUACCUCUGAAGCUGCGACUGGCCCGUCUGACGACGCUACCUCUGAAGCUGCGACUGGCCCGUCUGACGCACGCUACCUCUGAAGCUGCGACUGGCCCGUCUGACGACGCUACCUCUGAAGCUGCGACUGGCCCGUCUGACGACGCUACCUCUGAAGCUGCGACUGGCCCGUCUGACGACGCUACCUCUGAAGCUGCGACUGGCCCCGUCUGACGACGCUACCUCUGAAGCUGCGACUGGCCCGUCUGACGACGCUACCUCUGAAGCUGCGACUGGCCCGUCUGACGACGCUACCUCUGAAGCUGCGACUGGCCCGUCUGACGACGCUACCUCUGAAGCUGCGACUGGCCCCGUCUGACGACGCUACCUCUGAAGCUGCGACUGGCCCCGUCUGACGCACGCUACCUCUGAAGCUGCGACUGGCCCGUCUGACGACGCUACCUCUGAAGCUGCGACUGGCCCGUCUGACGACGCUACCUCUGAAGCUGCGACUGGCCCCGUCUGACGACGCUACCUCUGAAGCUGCGACUGGCCCCGUCUGACGCACGCUACCUCUGAAGCUGCGACUGGCCCCGUCUGACGACGCUACCUCUGAAGCUGCGACUGGCCCCGUCCUGACGACGCUACCUCUGAAGCUGCGACUGGCCCGUCUGACGACGCUACCUCUGAAGCUGCGACUGGCCCCGUCUGACGACGCUACCUCUGAAGCUGCGACUGGCCCGUCUGACGACGCUACCUCUGAAGCUGCGACUGGCCCUCGUCUGACGACGCUACCUCUAAGGAACUGUUCACCGCUUCAUCGGAGCCCCCGUUGACCACAAACAUGGAUAUCUGACGUGGGACAUGGUGCUCGGGGUCCAUGCAAGAGUUCAUGGGUACUCUAGUCCAGGUUGUCUGUGUGUGUAACUGCAUUUGCUUGUUUUGGCUCAAUUAAACAUUAACUGUAA